GUUGAAGAACGCAGCGAAAUGCGAUAAGUAAUGUGAAUUGCAGAAUUCAGUGAAUCAUCGAAUCUUUGAACGCACAUUGCGCCCGCCAGUAUUCUGGCGGGCAUGCCUGUUCGAGCGUCAUUUCAACCAUCAAGCCCCAGGCUUGUGUUGGGGACCUGCGGCUGCCGCAGGCCCUGAAAACCAGUGGCGGGCUCGCUGUCACACCGGGCGUAGUAGAUUUUAUCUCGCUCAGGGCGUGCUGCGGGUUCCGGCCGUUAAAAAGCCUUUUUUACCCAAGGUUGACCUCGGAUCAGGUAGGAAGACCCGCUGAACUUAAGCAUAUCAAUAAGCGGAGGA
rnacentral:misc_RNA from 1 species